UCGGCUCCUCCCUUCUACCUGGACUUCUGUUUCCCGCCUGGCCUGGCUCAUCCUUCCAGGCUGCACGCAGCCCUGCCUGUCCCCGGAAGCCUCUCUGGCACGGAGCACAAAGCUGGGCUGUGGCACAUGUGUCCUCCACACCGCGGGGGAAGACUAGUCAUGUUCCCAAGUGCCCCCAGGGCCGAGCCCACGGCUCACACAUUUAGCAAAAGGUGAAUCCCUAGGUGGGGGCAGGCAACUGUCUAUUCUCACAUCCCAGUGCUGACUGUUCCCGCUCCACCUUAACAAAGGCAGAACAACUUCUCCAGAUGAGAUAAGCAUCUAACUUUCCAGGAUUUCAAUCCUGUGAAACAAACUGAGGCCAGAAAGGGCACAGAAGAUAUCAAGGUGCCUUCUGUUCCCUUUUGGGGACUCCUGACUCCUGCUUAAACUCAGAAAAAUGCACCAUCCCCCCGCAGUGGUUUGGACAGUCACAUUCAAGAUGGAAACCUCAGUUACGCUCAGAUGAAAUCCACAAGCUGCAUGUGCUUCUAGUUGCCAUUGCAAGCUCCAUAAGAGGUCACAUGACUGUUACAUAAUUACAUGACUGGACUUUUUUUUUUCCUGAGACAGAGUUUCGCUCUGUCGCCCAGGCUGGAGUACAGUGGCACGAUCUAGGCUCACUGCAACCUCC